rfam:Glycine soja cultivar W05 scaffold3368_14, whole genome shotgun sequence.
ACAGAUUUAAACGUUAACGAUCACAUAUCACGUUCUGAUUGAACAUGAAAAAAUACGUCCAAAAAUUAAUUUUAAUAUUUUUUUGUUUAUCGUCCAAUCAAAACGUGACAUCUGACCGUCAACGUUU